GGGUAAAGCGGUGGCUCGUGGGUAAAGCGGUGGCUCAUGGGUAAAGCGGUGGCUCAUGGGUAAUGUGGUGGCUCAUGGGUAAUGUGGUGGCUCAUGGGUAACAUGCGUGUCGUGCAAGCAUGAGAAUCUAAGUUUGGAUUCCCAGGACCCACAUAAAAAACUGGGUGUGUUGGUGAGGUAGGGAUGGAGACGAGCAGAUUCCUGAAGCCUAUUGGCCAGAAAAAUCUAGCAAACUCGAACUUCAGGCUCAGUUACUGUCUUGGUGGGAUCUUUGUCAAUGGGGACAAGCUAGAGUUAUCUGGCAAGAGAAGCGUCAGUUGGGCCGAUGUCUCCAUCAGAUUUCGUGUAGGUUCCUGCCCUGACUUUCCCCCAGGAUGGACUGUAACUUAAAAAAGAUGCAAUAAAUCCUCUCCUCCCUAA